AAUUUAUUUCGUCCGCUGCCCUCUCCAUCCUCAUCCCCGAUCUGCUCGUCGAUCUCCUCCCGCUCCUCAUCUCGCCGAGGGGCGCCCGGCGGCGGCGCUCCCUCACCUCGCCCGGGUCUGAGGCUCCCGGCGGCGGCGCUCCCUCACCUCGCCCGGGUGCGGGGCUCCCGGCGACGGCGCUCCCUCACCACCUGGCCGGUCCGGGGCUCCUGACGGCGGCGCCCCCUCACCUCGCCCGGGUCCGAGGCUCCUAGCGGCGGCGCUCCCUCACCUCACCUGGCUCCGGGGCUCCCGGCGGCGGGGGCUCCUAGGGGCGGCGCUCCCUCAUCUCGCCCAGGGGCAACUAGCUGCGAACUCACGCAACUGCCGUAGGUGAACAAGAUCGUCUCCGUGGCAAUGGCUGAUUCACAAGAUCUUGCUUUUGAUGUACAGGUGAAGAUCGAUUCGAUCUGCAGCCACAAACUCAUCUGCUGCAUCGCCAUUCUGGCAGACCACUCAAUAGCGAGGCCUGCCUCCAAUGCAAUCUGAAUUCUCUGAUGAAAUCAGUAGCUCCAGAACAAAGGGGAGUUUAUCAAAAGUGCCGAAGUCCAAAAAAGAAUUGUGGACCUGGAGCUGAUUGAUAUCCUUUGUGUCGGACCUUCAUAUGUGCACUGAGGUGACUGCAUGAGAUAUGAUCCAUGCUAUGCAAUUUAAGUUCCAUGUAAUAAAGGCCAUAUGCAUGGAAGUACUUCAAGUGGAAGCUAAAUAUAAUAAAUUUUGUCAAGGCGGCCAAAACUCCAUUUGAUGACUACUCACUACUGAAGAAAGAGUGCAGGCUAGGCUUUGUAAGGUGGGUGUUAGUGUUACCUCUCAUGAUAGCAUUGUUGCUCUAGGCGAUGCCCCUAUGAGAGGAAAUAUACUGGAACCAAAGAAUAUGUGAAGCUGGAGUAAAAAGGUCAUGUUUGAUCAACUAGCGGCCAUGUAUGAGAGAGAGUGUACAGUAGCUAAUUGUUGUAACAUAGUUCUUACCACGUUAAGCUAAUAUAUUAUGUUUUUGAAUUUAUAUGGCAUUUAUAUAUGGGUUGCCAAAUGAUACUUAUGUGA